UAAGAGAGAAAUAUGACGCCCCCGACUUCCCAAGGAGUCACCCAUCUUAGAACUAUUUCCGUCCUAGCACGCUUAACUCUUUUAACCUCUUAGACCUAGCCACCACCCAAAAUGCUUAAGUCGGAUUAAGAGUUUAGCCCUGUUAUAUUUUAUAUAUAGGACUAUCUGGGGUCUCAUAAUCUCUCUCCCUUUAAACCCUGACGCCCUAGUCAGACUUAGACUCAUAAGUAUCAGGCGAUGUGAGACUCGUCUCAUUAGCCUAAACUGACCUUGUGGUGAGUCACAGUCCACCUACAACAGUCAAUAGUAUGAAAGCCUCGUUCUCCCUGCUGUACAAUUCUAGCUCAACCGAGACUUAACUCACACUUUCGACUGGUAAUUGGCUCUAAUACCAACUGUGACACCCUGACUUUUCAAAGGGUCACCCAUCUUAGGACUACUCCCAUCCUAGCAUGCUUUAUUCUUUAAACCUCUUGGGCCUAGCUACCACCCAAAAUACUUAAGCUGAGUUAAGAGUUUAGCCCUAUUAUAUCAUAUAUAUAGAAUUACCUAGAUCCUCACAAUAAAUCUCUCGAAAUCUCAAUAUCCCCAAUUG
rnacentral:lncRNA from 1 species